ensembl:lncRNA novel transcript
GGGAAAUGAAAUCACCUGGCCCCUGACUCAGUCCAUCUCCCAGGCUAACUGGGAGCUACUGGAUACAGGCAUCAGGAAGGUGAUGUGAAAGAUGCCGCAGGUGAAAGAGAAGAAGAACGCGGAGCACCUGAGCAGCUGUGGAGCCUCGGAUUCGUUGGAAGGCACAUUCUUGGAAGAAUAGCUCCUGUAAUGAGAUUGGGCACAUCCAGGCCAUCUUCUAUUUUACUGUCCGCAUAACACAAUCCAGGAAGUGAAAUCUCAGCAUGUUCACAGAUCCUAAGGACUCAACUAUGGAACCAUGGGGGCUGCCCAUAGAAACUCCACCUAUGCACAAGGGUGAUGUGCAUCAAGACUAAUUUUAUAGUAAUGAUAAGUCAUCACCUUUUUAUUAACACUAUGUUGCCACUUGCCCUUGGAAGCAGUCGCAGUGAAUUUGCCCAUCCCUUAGAAGCAAGAAUCAAGUUGGUAACACCAAACGAAACUCAAUGAAUUCUCCAUGGCCACAACCCAUGAUUCAAGAAAAUGCUAAAUGUCUUUGAUAAAGAGUCAAAAUGUAUCAAUUUAUUAAAUCUCAAUCCUUGCAUCCCAUCUUGUAAUACUGAAAAAUGAAAUGAGAAGUAUGCCUAAAGCAUUUGUCGCAAGGAAUUCUUCUCAACAAAUUCCUCUCAACUUCUUGCAAAUAGCCAACUCUUUGUGGAUAGUCAAGACUCAUCUUUUACAUUUUAUUCUGCAGAAAGCCUCCUGUGAUGGUUAAUAUUGAGUGUUAACUUGAUUCGGCUGAAAGUAUGCAAAGUAUUGUUCCUGGGUAUGUCUGUGAGGGUGCUGUCAAAAGAGAUUAACAUUUGAGUCAGUGGACUGAGAGAGGCAGACCCACCAUUAAUCUGGGUGGGCACCAUCCCCUUGGCUGCCAGCAUGGUUAGAAAAAGCAGACAGAAGAAAGUGGAAUGAGCAGACUUGCUGAGUCUUCUGGCCUUCAUCUUUCUCCUGUGCUGGAUGCUUCCUGACCUGGAACAUCAGACUCCAAGUUCUUCAGCUUCUGGACUCUCGGACUUACACCAGUGAUUUGCCAGGGCAUCUUGGGCUCUUGGGCCUUCAGCCACAGACAGAAGGCUGCACUGCCAGCUUCCCUACUUUUGAGGUUUUGGGACUCAGACUGGCUUCCUUGCUCCUCAGCUUGCAGAUGGCCUAUUGUGGAAUUUCACCUUAUGAUCGCAUGAGUCAAUUCUCCUUAAUAAAUUCCCCUUCAUAUAUACAUCUAUCCUAUUAGUUCUGUCCCUCUAGAGAACCCCGACUAAUACGCCUCACAUUCUUCUUUCCCCAAACAGCAAAAGGCAUUUCUCUUCUGUGUUUUUUUUAGCAUAUUAUUUAUAAGUUAAAUCAUAGUACUUACCAUAAUGUGCUUUAAUUAUUGCGUGUUUGAAGGUCUACUCCACAGGACUGAAAAGUAUCUGGUGGUCUGGCCUGAUUUGCUUCAGGUACAGGAAUUAGAACUUUUCUAUGUCUAUACCAUCAAUGUCUAGCACUGUCCUC